CGCACGCCCCGGCAACGGGGAGUGGCGGACGGGUGAGGAACGCGUAGGAACAUGUCCAGAGGUGGGGGACAACCCUGGGAAACCGGGGCUAAUACCGCAUACGGCCCGAGGGCCAAAGCCGAAAGGCGCCUUUGGAGCGGCCUGCGUCCGAUUAGCUUGUUGGCGGGGUAACGGCCCACCAAGGCGACGAUCGGUAGCUGGUCUGAGAGGACGAUCAGCCACACUGGGACUGAGACACGGCCCAG
rnacentral:rRNA from 1 species